CAAUCAGACCUUGCUCUGGAGGAGGCUCAUCCUCCUCGAGCUGAUCUUGGCUGGCCAUGACAGGACCUUGGUUUUGUUUUCAGAAUGGAAAUGAUAAACCCUUUCAGCCCCAAUCCUGGAUUGUGUGCACUGUAAGCGUCCAGGAUGGGAUGUCCCAACAGACAGAGGACCAGAACAAAGAUGGGACGUCCCAACAGACAGAGGACCAGAACAAAGAAGUACAAUUCAUAUAGCUUUAACAAACUUUCCCUCAAUUUUUAAACAAACUCAGAUCCUCUUCAAUCACAAUGAAAUCAAAACAAAAGAUGGAUGCCCUUGACUUCUUUGAUAUCAGAAUCCAACAUCAGAUGGAGAGGGAGAAGUGAAGAUCCAAGAAUGUUACAUGUACACAGAGAGAUCUUGUAGCACCUUUGAGACUAACUGAAAGAAAGAAAUUGGCAGCAUGAGCUUUCGUAGACUUCAGUCUACUUCCUCAGGUGCAUUUAUAUGUACACAGAACAAGCGCUAUGUCUACAAGAACCAAAGUUCGCCCAGAUUCAACUAUGUCUUUGACCUGGCUGAAAAUUGAAAUCAGCUCUAGUGUUGGUCUGAAUGUAUUCUUUCUCAUUGCUGGCAAGGGAAAUGCUUUUAAACAAAACAAAACAAAAACUAGGAGGAAGUAUGCUGAUUGUUCAUCUUCCUCCCAUCCCAAGAACCAAUCCUGGCACAUUUGGAGGUUAACCAGGAAAUUGUCCCACCAAAUAGGGUUGCCAGAGUGAAAACUGGAGAUGACUCUUGUAUCUUUAAUGUUAGUACUGUAUAAAAGAGGAACUGUCAACAGGUGCUUGUGAUCCAUUCAGGUAACAAGCAAUGCCUGUUUAAAUUCCUUCCUGUGCACAACCAAUAAGGUACUGGAACCCUCUCUAAUUUUCACUUUGGCAACCUUAUCUAUUUAUACAGUUCAACUCAGUGCUUCAGACAUACUGUGUUUAGUUAGAAUAGUUCCCAUUCCCUUACAAAAUGUAGGAGAAGAUGAGAUAACUAUCUAGAGGACUGAGGAAACAAUGGAAGCAUUGGCCUAGAAAGCAUAUGUAAUUUGCUGUUAGACUGACAACUCCAUUCUCAAAAUGUCUUCUGAAACAUUAUUCUUCCUACCCUUACAGUUUUGUUUUAUUGUAAUAUUCUGCAAACAAUUCAUUCUGAAUGUGGAUGAAAAUCACUAAAAAAUGCUUUGGCAUUUGGUCAUUUGGCCAAAGAGCUGACAUGUAUGUUCAAGAGGAAUUUUUAAUUCCAACCAAGUUUUUAUUCUGGUAACUUUAACCAGUAGGUGCCAGUCUUGCUCCAUAAAUCUGUGAUUACAUUUCAGGCACAUCCUGUAUUAAGGUUUUCAGUUGGAAACUAAAAGCCCAGAGUUGUAGUGUCAAGGUAAAGAAAGCAAGUAAUGAACUCUGAAAGCAGAAUACAUGGGGAAAAAAUCCAGAACAAAAAUAAGACCAGAGUAAAAAUUGGAUAUAAGAUUAAUUACUUUUAGUUGAUUUUGAUAUUGAUGCUAUAAGGAGAAAAUGCCCAGUAUCUCAAAAAAAUUUUUUUAAUUUUUUUAAAAAAAUAUAUUUAUUAUUAUUUUUUAUUAUUAGUAUUAUUAUUUAUAUCCCACCUCUUCUGUUUGGGAAUUGAGGCAGGUAACAACAGAAUUUAUGCAACACACAAUACAAAAACAAUAAAACCCACAAAACCCUGACCCAACCCUCCCUCCCAAACUAUAAAAUUGACAUAAUAAAACAUGAUUAAAAUACAUAUCAAUACUACAAGGUUAUUCUACAAUCCGCAAAUGAUGAGAAGAUAUAGUAAGAAGGAUAGGUAUAAUCGGUUCUGGGGGCUUAUCACUCAGGGAAGGCCUGCCGGAAGAGAAAGGUUUUUGUCACUUUUUAAAAAGCCUCCAACGAGGAUAACUGGCAAAUCACUUCCAGCAGGUCAUUCCAAGCUUUAGGAGCCGUAGCAGAAAAAGAUCUCCGGGAGGUCACUCCCAGUCUGGUCUUUCUUGGUUGUAAAAUAAUUUUCCUGGAGGAACGGAAUUAUAUGGGAGGAGGCAUUCCUUCAAGUAGACUGAACCCAAGCCAUGUAGGGCUUUAUAGGUGAUAACCAACACCUUGUAUUGUACCGAGAGGCUAAUAGGUAGCCAGUGUAGUGACUUUAGAAUAGGUGUAAUUCGGUCAAACCUAGAUUUUUCCAGUGACCAGUCUGGCUGCCAUGUUUUGUAUCUAUCUUCCUGUUAUCUUCAUGGCAUUUUGCCAUUCUUUUUAGUGCCGCCAAAGUGCCGGAUCAGGGCUGCAGUGUGCGGUUGCCACAGCCCCAAUCUGGAAAGGAAACAGGCGGCAGGACGCCACCCCAAAGGGGCGGUCUGUUGAGCCCCAUCAUUCGCUACAUAUUGUAUUCCAGUAUUUCAAGAUGUUCUUGAAUUCUGGUUGAAUUCUUGAAACAGAUGCUGUAUACUAAGUGCUGCCCCACCACUAGACAGGAUGAGACUGUUGUACCAAUAGACUCCCUCCCAACACUGUAGCAAAAAAAAUGUCAUCUUGUUUUCAGUGCAGCCCCUGUCCCCCCAUAUAUUAAUUUUGUGCAGAAUGAGACCUGGAUUGCAAAUGGGCUUUGAAAACUCCAUAGUUUUCCAGUACUUUCUCACAAUGGCAAGUAGGUAGAGAGAUCUUGUAACACCUUUGAGACUAUCUGAAAUAAAGAAGUCAGAAGCACGAGCUUUCAAUGAAGAUGCAUCUGAGGAAGUAGACUGAAGUCUAUGAAAGCUCAUGCUGUCAACUUCUUUAUUUCAGUUAAUCUCAAAGGUGCUACAAGAUCUCUUUAUAUACUGAUUGCAGAUGUAGGUCAUCUCUCGGCUCCAAAUCCCCUCCGUGGCCUCCUGUUGUCUCUCUUGGCUUCGCUCCAUCUACCACCAAAUCGUCCAGAAUCGAGGCGCUGGGGGGUGUUUGGGCUCCUUCUUGAGUUCCACUGCCUUUGCCUCCCCUAUGGAGACACUUUUUAAUGGGCAAUUUUCGCUCCAGUCAGAUCUAUCUCCUGCAACGGGCGAUCAUUUCUUGGAUCGGCGUCAAAGAGAUGUUCCACGACCCGCCAUGCCACCAGAAGUUACUUUCUUUGAGUAGAGAUUUAGGGGCUGUGCAGACCAGCAAUUUGGGCCGGCUUGGGGCAGAGUCAGGGCAUAGCAUCUCCAUGACACACACUCCAGCUCCAGUCCCAGGGCACCGUGACACUGUGCACCGCACCACAUGGUGUACAGCAUCAUGGCACUCCUCUGGCACUACGCAUGUACAACACAGCAUCAAAGGAGCACUGCCAAGCUGUGACAAUGCAACUAUAGCCCUUUGCAGGACACAAAACGGAGCUGCUUUUUGUGGCUCCUUUUUGCAUCCUGCAAAGGCCAGAUCAGGACCAUGUCUGCAGUUGCUGUGGCCCCGAUUUGGCUGUAACAGGUGGCUCCAGGCUGCCCCUUCAGGGCUGUGUGUACAGCCCCUUGGUUAAGAAUUAUAUCCCCAGUUUUGGCCCCUGUAAAAAUACAAUCUAAACUCAAACACAGCUCAGCAUAAGGGUGACUAGAUUGUUGUUAUGUGCCUGCACAUCAUUUUCAACUUAUAAUGACCCUAUUAUGGGGGCAAAAUUUAUUGAGAGAGGGUUUGCCUUUGCCUUCCUGAGAAUGAAAAAAUGUGACUUGCCCAAGGUCACCCACUGGGUUUAUUUGGAUGAGUGAAGAUUCAAACCAUGGUCUCCAGGCUCCUAGUCCAACACUCAAACCAGUACCCCACCCUGGCUCUUAUAAACCUCAGUAAUUUCCAGGAUUUCUUUGCUGGGUGGGGCUUGGAUUCAGCACAGCAUCAGCCAGUCUAGUGUCUGCUCAGCUGAUAUGUGGCCAUCUAAAUUAUAUAGUGCUGCUGGCAGAACAGACUGGUGAAUCUAUGACCAUGAGGGUGACAAAUCUAUUCUUUUUCUUAUUGCAGCACUUCUCACAGCUGCUUGUUCAGUGUCAAAUUUCCAAUGGGAUAUGUUUCUGCAUUGGGAGAGCUCAAUAAUAAGAUCAAUAGAGUUUUUUUUCCCUGUCUCAGGGCGGCUGAUGGUGGCUCCUAGUUGGCUUCUGAGGGUAUCCAUCUCGAUAUUUACCUGAAGCAGAGAAAUCCCUUGAGUAAUUUAUUUAUUUAUUUAUUUAUUGGAUUUAUAUCCCACCUUUGCCCCAAAAUGGGAUUCAAGGCAGAAGUGUAUAUUUUCAUCUUUCAGUUAAAAUGUUGAAAUGACUGCCACAUGCUCAGUGCAAAGUAUAUGCUUAUGUCCUUAGUUUUGAUGGGAAAAACCACCUUGACAAAUAUGAAAAUUAAAGAACAAUACACACAUAUCUGGAUUUUAUACCACAUGGUAUCCCUUUACUUCUUUUGGAAACAUCAGUAGGCAAACAUAACUUCUCCUACAAUCUCAUUUAGAUUUAUAGAAAGAUUUAUUAAUAUAAAAAUCUAAACUCUCUUUCUUUUCUUUUGGAUGAAUGUUUUCUGGGCUCAUUUGACUUGGAUUUGCCUCACUUAUUCAUAGAAUGUUCAUUUGAUUUUUGAGUUCUAUAUGUGCAUUAUUGUUCCAAUUACUUAUUUUCUUUCUUCAAAUUUAUAUUGUACAAAGUUAAAAAGGAAUAAAACCUUUUUUUAAAAAAACCACACACACACAGGGAUUUGUUCUCAAUGUAUUGUUUCUAUAUCUCUACCCCCCCCCUUUCUUUAAAAUAAGGUUGUAUUUGGUUUUGUGUCUGGUAGGUUUAAUUAUUUUAUUUAUAGUUUUCAUAUAUACCUUAGUAAUAUGUGAUACUGUUUUGAAUGUUUACCAUGCCUUGUAUUCUGUGAUAUCUUAUCUUAAAAUAUUUUAAAUAGUUUGGCUGUCUAGAACAUCUGGCAGAAAGGAGACAUAUAGUUUUGAAAAAUAAGACAGGAAUCCUUUUGGAUCAAUUUGUUGUUGUAUGCCUUCAAGUCAUUUCCAACUUAUGGGGCCCCUAAGGUGAACCUAUCACAGAGUUUUCUUGGGCUGAGAGUAUGUGGCUUAUGUAAGGUCAUCAAGUAGGUUUACAUGGUCAAGCAGGGAAUUAAACCCUGAUCUCCAGCGUUGUUGUUCUACACUCAAAACAUUACACCAUGCUGGCUCUCUUUAGUCAAUAUGAAAAUGUAAAAAAGAGUUCUGUGAGCCAUUUUAGAAACUGUAUGUUCUGUCUCUAGUAUAGCCAACCUUUUCACAAGUGCACUCUGUCUCUUCUCUCUCAUUUUUGAUGGUACGUGGGGAGAUAAUUGACCAUUGCACAACAAGUGAGCUCAAGGCCAUGGAAUUUGUUGCAUAUUGGUCAUGUUAUUGGCAUGAAAAGGCAUUAUUAGGUUCUGUCAUUUGAGUCCUGUGCAGCCCACAUAUACUUUUAGCCAACCUCCUUACAUAAAUCCAUUUGCUGUUUGCAGUCCACUCAAGCUUGUGUUAAUCAUUGCUAAAUUGCUACUGGCAAAUUGCUGUAAUUGCAAUAAUUUGUGCCCAGGGUCAUGCAACUAAAAGUUGUGGACACAGUGACAGCAUACCUAACCCUGAGAAUAACAAAAAAGCUGUUGCUACAGAAUGUAUAGGUCAUGCAGACCUUGUUUCAUGAUAGAUAUUUUCACAUACUGUAGAUAUUGUUUUGGCUUCUGUAUAACUGCUUGCUCAAGCUAAAAAAUACUAUAAAUACUUGCUAUUUCCAGAAUAAACUAUUCUCCAUCUUGA